rnacentral:rRNA from 1 species
GACGAACGCUGGCGGCGUGCUUAACACAUGCAAGUCGAACGGAAAGGCCCUGCUUUUGUGGGGUGCUCGAGUGGCGAACGGGUGAGUAACACGUGAGUAACCUGCCCUUGACUUUGGGAUAACUUCAGGAAACUGGGGCUAAUACCGGAUAGGAGCUCCUGCUGCAUGGUGGGGGUUGGAAAGUUUCGGCGGUUGGGGAUGGACUCGCGGCUUAUCAGCUUGUUGGUGGGGUAGUGGCUUACCAAGGCUUUGACGGGUAGCCGGCCUGAGAGGGUGACCGGCCACAUUGGGACUGAGAUACGGCCCAGACUCCUACGGGAGGCAGAAGUGGGGAAUAUUGCACAAUGGGCGGAAGCCUGAUGCAGCAACGCCGCGUGCGGGAUGAAGGCCUUCGGGUUGUAAACCGCUUUCGCCUGUGACGAAGCGUGAGUGACGGUAAUGGGUAAAGAAGCACCGGCUAACUACGUG